AAUGCGAAAAGGCAAACUCAGGGUAACCUGGGGGCGCAAAGCAGUGCAUCCCGAGUUUAGGGAAAGGCAGGCUACCGAA
rnacentral:ncRNA from 1 species